rnacentral:lncRNA from 1 species
CGAGAGCGCACCACCCAACAUCCAUGCCUCGGCUACAAGUAUAGUAAUCACCUGCAAGCCGGUGAAGAGAAGGUCCACGUCAUCAGAAAACAGCCAUGUUAGGAGAGAGAUUACGGAGCGGGUGCUAUUCUCUUCGCCCGACUGUAGCGCACCAUACGAGAAAAAUGCCCUCUUCCAGCCCGAUGCGAGCGAUAAGCCGGCGCUUCAUUCUCCCGUCUCUUCCCUUCCUGAUCCCGUGCUCCGCUUCCCC